rnacentral:rRNA from 1 species
GGAAUUUUGGACAAUGGGCGAAAGCCUGAUGCAGCAACGCCGCGUGCGGGAAGAAGGCCCUAGGGUUGUAUACCGCUUUCAGUAGGGAAGAAAAUGACGGUACCUACAGACGAAGGUGCGGCCAACUACGUGCCAGCAGCCGCGGUGACACGUAGGCACCAAGCGUUAUCCGGAUUUAUUGGGCGUAAAGAGCUCGUAGGCGGUUCGGUAAGUCGGGUGUGAAAACGCUGGGCUCAACCCAGAGAGGCCACCCGAUACUGCUGUGACUAGAGUGCGGUAGGGGAGCGGGGAAUUCCUGGUGUAGCGGUGAAAUGCGCAGAUAUCAGGAGGAACACCAGCGGCGAAGGCGCCGCUCUGGGCCGUAACUGACGCUGAGGAGCGAAAGCAUGGGUAGCAA